ensembl:lncRNA
AGUAAUGGCUAAUUCUGAACAAACAAGUAACAAUUCCAGUAAAUCCAAGGAAAGGUACAUCCCUCUGACCUCUCUGUGCCCCUUUUCAGUAACAAAUAUGUAUUUCGAGCAAAAGAACAAAGUUUCUUGUGCUAUGGUUCUGCAGGGCCAUAGCAGAGUGCUGCCUAUAGCCACAUAGUUGGAAGAAGGUUAAUGAAUUGCUAAAGCACAUGUUUCCAGUGAAUAAUUCAUAUAGAAAGAAAAUUUAGGUGGCCUAGCAGUUUAUUAAAUGAGAUUAUGAUGGACUCUAUGCCCUUUGGCAAGUGUCACCUCAAGAUAAAUUGAUGUAACUCUUUACCUCUUAAUGGAAAGUCCAUUAGUAAAAGAAGGAUUGUAAUUUCUACUGAUGCAAACCAGUGUCAGCUGUCAUUUCUUUGGUAUUAAUAUUUUCCCCUUUUUUCUUUUCUACCCCUUGAUAUUUUAUAUCUUCUCUUUGAUUUUCUAGCAAAAACAACAUUCAUCCUCAGCCAUGACUUUGGAUACACGAUUUCUAACACUUAUUGCUGUAUUAUUGCUGGAGAUUUUCUUCUUCAGCUCAGCUUCUGCGCAGUGUUUGCAGGGGCAUUUCCAUGGAGAGCAGCUCUUCCUUGUGCAGUGUCGCCCUGAUUCUUGAGUUUUCUAAAGCCUUCUGAGUUUACAUUCUAUUGGGAAACUUUCCCACACAGUUUCUGUAAAUAACAUAUUGUUUUGCAUUCCUCCAUGGGGGUGGAGAGACUUGAUAUACUAGUGCUUUGUCCAAUGUCUUUGGAGAGGUGGCCCAUUCACUCUCCAACCCACUGUCACCUUUGGAAAAGUAUAAAAAUUGGAGAAGCUGAUUCCCUGCCAAGGUCUGAAGGUGGUCUUGCUGAAGAGGAGGGAAGUUCACCUGUCCAGGGAGGUUGUACCUCACUGGUGUGCAUGGAGACCAGCUCCAGCACUGCUGCCCUUUACAGCCACCUGGACCUCCCACAACCAUUUCAGUAAUGCACUUUACACAGAGCAUUUUGGCAAAGAAAGUGAGAGAUUUUCUGCCUAAGCUUUGUUGUCUGUGCAGCUGAUUUUUCAGGUGAGGUUUCUCCUUAGUGUUUGAAGGGAUAAGGACAUCUUUUGAAAGCUUCCCAGUACCAGCCUGCAAUGGUGAUACUGAUGGCGGGGGGGAGGGGGAGGGGGAUCUUAAUAGUAGGAAAAAGAAUCACCUCUCAUUCUUCUUCUCUCUGGAAUUAUUUUCAACUGUGUUUUAAAAAAUAGAAAAUUGAUUAUAUGAAGAAAUAGCACAGCUAUUGAAAGAAAUGAAGACAGCACCAUUUACUGUUCUCAUGGUGCUUUCAAGUCUCACAUCUGGUUUUACAAGAGCAAGACACCAAGGAGGAGCAAUAAUUUCAUCAUCUUGUUAAUAUCUGUGUCUUGUAUUUGUACACUUGUACUACAUCUACCAGAGUCUCAUUAUGCAGGUAUUUUUUGCCAUGUCAUCACAAUGGCCUGACAAAAAACAACUACUGUCUAAGCACCCAAUUGCCCUUCUUCUCUAAAUAUUGCUUGUCUGCUUAUACAGCUUUAUCUAAAUGCACCUCUGUCAUCUGUAAUAAGGUAAUAGGUCUAAAAAGUACCUAGUGUCAUCUUGUGUCUUCUACUUUGGUACAGAGCCCAUUUUAAACCUAAACUGAUGCCCUUAUUACAGAUCUUUCUUUCUGCUCCUUGUAGCAGUUUCAGAUGCCAUGUCCCAGUAACUGCAACAGGGAGAAAGAACAUAAAACCGUUCCAAAGUUAGUGUAAUUUUCUUGGGCUGAAAAGUCAUAAAAUCACAGGAUACCAGGUUGGAAAGUGACCUCAAGGAUCAACUGGUUCAACCUCUCUUGGCAAAAUUGUGGCAUAGACAAGAUAGCCCAGCACCCUGUCCAACUUAAGAUCUACGGUUGGGCAGGAAGCAUUUGUCCUGUUAUCCAUAAAUGUCAGUUUUCCCAAACUUCUUUCAUCAGUUUGGGCUUCAUUUUCUUUGGGCUUUAAGCUGUUUGGGCCAAGCAUAAUCUUAUUUUGUACAUAGAGUGUCUACUGUAAGAGGACAUCUAGACCCUGCAACAAAGGGUUUGCCUCCUUUCCCAAGGCUUUUCAUGCAAACUCAAUGCCAAGAGGAAGAAAAGUUGUGUCUCAGGAGAACCUGCCUUUAAAUAAGGAAUCUGCAUAUUUUUAUACUCCUGGAUAAUAUUUCUAGGAAAAUUAGGAAACAUCUUGAAGGUCAAACAUUAAGUUGGCGCAAAUUUCAAUAAGUGAGUUGGAAAUCCCUCAAAAAGUACAAAAUGAAUAAUGGUAGAGAGAGACAAAGACCACAAAAUCAGCUGCAGAGCAGCCAUUACAGAGUUAUACAUCUCCAGCAUUAAUUUUCAUACAAAGUGAGUAAUAUACUUUUAAUCAGACCCAACAGAUACAAAAACCUGAGUCAUUCCUAUGCACAGGAGGAAUAAGUUUUGUUACAGAUCAAAUUGUGCUGAGGUUCCUCAAUAGAAAAAACCUAAUUAAUAAAUAAGGACAAGUCCUUGUUAGGUGAUGUUGUCCUGACAGCACAGAAAAAGCAGGUCAAGAGCCAGUGUUGUCCUUGGACUUGCCAGGAAAUCUUUGUUACUGAGGUGCAGCCCAUGUGUCAGGCAACCCAUACCAGUUUGGUUAAAAGGCUGGUGAAAAAGUCAUCUCCAGCUCCUCAGGUUGAAUGUGUUUCAGUUAUUUCUUUGUCUGUCCUCAAUUUAAGCAUCUAAAGAAACUUCUUUUAGUACAGUUUCACAAAGACUGAUUGGCCAAAUGAAGACUUUUUUAAAAGAAAAUCAGAUUUUAUUUUCUUUCAGAAAAACACAUUAAAAGAAGAUAGAGCAAAUCCCCUGCCAGAGAAACACAGACAUUUUUGUACCUAACUACACUGUUAAAAUCACUAAUUAAGGAGAAAAUAUUUCAGAGACACUAUGAUCUGUAGGUCCAGAUUAAUUAGGAUAAGCUUUAAUUAUUCAGUGGUAAUACAUGCCACCUUUGAAAUCAAAAUCAUCAAAAGAAGGUGCUUGCAAGCUCAGCAACUACCCCCAGGACUUUUGUUUCUACUUGUACUAAGGCAGCAAGUAGAUGUAAUACAAUUCCAGUUUUCUCUGCAAGGCCUAAAGUCACCUCAGUUAGGCAGACUGAUUCCCAGAAGCACACUCUGAAGAGGAGAGGGGACCUUGCAGAAUAUUUCUCUCCCACGUUAGAAGAGAUGACUGAGACCUUUUGAAAACACUUUGUCUCUCCUAAUCUUCAUAUUGAUUGGGGUGAAAAUAAAAGAGAAAAUAUUUGCUCCCAGCUUAUUCUUGCAAUUGCUCUUCCAAUGUUUUGCUUUCCUUGUUAUUUUCAAAAAACGUUUUUGUUCUUUCUCCAAGCGCCUCACCCAGCAUAUUUUCAGAGCCAUCAGAGCUCCUCUUUCCUUCCCUCUGAUCAACUUUGCCAGAAUGCCUGGAGCAGAUUCCUCUUUUGUGCCUUGUCUCUCUUUUGGGAUUAGCUUCUCUUCAUGUUGGCAGGACUUCCUAUCACAGAAGCAUUAUGACCACCAGUGCCAUUAAUCAAGGCUCUGCCACAGGUAGGAGCAGGCAUUAGUAGACUGCAGGCAGUCAGGAAAACAAGGGUAUUUUAUUAGCAAAUUUUCAGAUAAAAGCUGGACAUCAGUCAACUGGAUAACUACAAUUCCUUCUGGCUUUCAAAUUACAGAGUAAAACAUCAUCAUUUUCAAGUCUGGGUCCAGCAGCACUGUGGGAAGUGCAUAAUGAUGGAAUAUGAACCUGGAAGUGGUAAUUUUCUUUAUGUGGCUCUGCCUGUACCACCACAUAAAUCACUGAUUUCUCCCUUAAAUCUUGCCAUUUUCUUGCUUUACUUUCUUAGCAAGUACAUCUGUUUCCUCUGAAUUUUUUAGUCUUUUUCUCUACAGCUCUGAGUCAGUAGGUGCUGGAGCUGGGGAUGGUAGAGGCAUCCAUCACUGGAAACCCCACUGGAAACAUUUUUCCCUCAGCCUAAUUCCACGCUUGAGCUCAAAGAUGCCACAGAGCAGAGUCAUUAUGAAAGUCAUGCCAGUGAGACGUGUUGUCGUAAAAUUGAGAUCCCUACAUAGGAACUUUGUAAUUAAGGAAUAAACAGAGGCAAUGAGUCAUUACAUUUGGUGCUGUGGGAGUUUUAGGAAAGCAUGUUUUAAGUAACUCACGGAAAUAAGACACGACCUUUACACAACUUUUUUCUUUUAUUGUUAGCAGUCGUAGGAAGCAGGACACAGAUUUUUCCAGUGGCAUUUAGGUAUCUCAUACACAGAUGCUGACAACUGGACCUCCUCAUUCCUUCUCCAGAUGGUGACACUUGGACCUCACAGCUCUCACAAACAGCACAGGAAGAUUACAAAGAAAGAAUGGUUUGGGGAAAGGAUUUAAUACAAGGAUAGGACAGGAAUGCUGGGCAGGCACAGGGUUCGGUACGUUGAGCCAUUUCUAUCCCUCUUUCUCAUUGCCUCAUAUUUCUCGCCCAUUUACCUUGAUUCCUUCCCUUCCCCUAAACUUCCUGUAAUAAAUUUUACAUAAUCCCACAAACCUCUUCUGAAAUCCCAUAAGCUUCAUGUAAACCCAAAAUCCCCCUCAA